rnacentral:piRNA from 1 species
GUAGAAGGCAGGUGUCUAUCAAGUGAC